rnacentral:lncRNA from 1 species
GGGGAUUGUGGAAGAGGCAUGAAGAGAGAAAGAUUUUGAAGGACAAGCCAAGAUGCAAGAGACUAAGCUGGGGACAUGUUUUGUCAAUCAAGAUGAAGAUUCUAAAACAGAAUGUUCCCAGGAGGAGUGGCAGUUGAGCUGGCGAGGGGGAAGGGCUGGAAGUGCCACUCUCUCUCUGGCAGUUGAAGCUGGCAGUGGAGUCCUGCUGAAGACCCUGAUUGUGCUGACUUGUUUUGGGGGGUUUUCUGAUCAAGGUUUUUCCACAUAUAAUAUCAUGUCAUCAGUAGGGUGAGAAUUGUUCCACUUUCCUACCAAUAUAACCUAAAAGGGACAGCUGAUACAGUGGAUGACAGAGUCAAAACCCAAAGAGAUAUUGGCAGGUAAGCGCUUUAAUCUUAUUCUAAUAACAUGACAUCCAAUUGAGGUUAGUAUAAAUUCUUAUUCUUGGGUUUCACAAGGACAAGAUGGGGGAGAAGUCAGUUAGAAAGCUGUCUGGAAAAAAUCUGGGGCUUUAGUGGACUCCAAAAUCAAUAUAAAUUAGGACUAUAACAUGAUGGCCAAAAAAGCUAAUGCAAUCCUUGGCUGCACUGAGAGGAAGAGACUGAAUUGGCCCAUAGGAGCUGUUCUUUGGGGUGUCUCCAGAAUUGCACUUUUUGGUUCUAGUCAACCACAUGGGAACUUUGAGACCUGCUUCCAGCCAUAAGACUAUUCAAUACUGAAAUUACCUUGUAUUCUGGUAUAAUGUGAUAAACCUCAAGUGUCCCUUUCUACUGCUAUGUUCAUUGCUUACUUAUCAUAGAUGAAAGGGCAUAUAUAUUGAGAUGACAUGUCCAGGCUUGAAGGCACCCAUAUGAAUAUGAGAAGCUCAAAGGUCCUGGAUUCCAUCAGGUUAGGGCUAAAUGAAUAUAGGAGAGAUAUCUCCAGCAACUUCUUGAUUGUUCUUGGGAAGGACAACCACCACCACCACCAAGAAAAUUGGUUUUGCUAGCAGAUGUUUACAAUUGAGAGCCAAGAUGAGAUAGUCAGUGCCUAAUUAGCAGUGAAUAAGCUAUUUUAUACUGUGAUGAGGUUUAAGUAUCAAUUUCCCAGAAGAUUAUAACAGUUCACAGUUUUUCAGUCACUUUCAAUCAUUUCCUACUCCACCCCACUCAGGAUUUUCUUGGCAAAGAUAUAUGAGUUUGUUUGCCAUUUCCUUAUCUAGUUCAUUUGAUAGUUGAGGAAACAGGCAAACAGGGUUAAAUGACUCAUCCAGGAUCCCACAGCUAGUGGCUGAGCCUGCAUUUGAACUCGGGAAGAUGAAUCUUCUUGACUCAGGUCUGGCAACAGCAGUUAUAUAUAAUUUUGCUUUAAUAUUAAUAUGUGCUAUGACUCUUUUUAUAGUUAGUUUUUCUUUUGUUUGUAGGAAUAAAUUACCUGUCCAAUUCCUGAUUUAU